UAUUAUGCACAUUUUCUGGUUCA
rnacentral:miRNA from 1 species